CUUAGCGAAAGUGGGUAAGGCCAAAAAAAAAAGUCUCCGUUUGCUUGACGAUUAUAAUUAACUGUACUAUAAAAUAUUCAGGGAUUUUCCAAAGAAUUUUGCCCUUUUAAACUUAUGUACGUAUCAUAAGUUUUAUAUUAAUUUAUUGUCUCAGGUGCAUUUUUAUAUCCAAUUUUAAAUGCCUUAUAACUAUGUCUGAUUAAUAAGUGUCUCCCAUUUAAAUUGCCUUUAUGUUUUAAACUUAAA